AAAAAGAUAAGCUAAGGAAAGCUAUUAGGUUCAUACCCUAAAGAUAGAAUUAAUCACUCUUCUUUUUA
rnacentral:tRNA from 1 species